AUGUUCGAUUCUUGUACUCCAUAUAGGCCUGUUUUUCAUGAAUAUGCAGAUUCUGAUAUGAAUUACACGUGGGAGCCUUCUCAUGCAGAUUGGAAUAUGUAUUCCAAGGUGCAACCAAUCUUGAUGCAAUUUGCUGAGAUGACUAAGGUAUUAUCAGGAUCUGUAUACCCUACUGCAAGUAUCUUUUACCCUUAUAUAGUGACUGUCAAAAUGGAGACAGCGGCUGCAUGUCAUUCUAAAGAUAAGCAUCUAUCAGCUAUGGCGUACGCAAUAAUAGAUAAAUUUGAUAAGUAUUGGGCGGAGAAAAACAAUGUUAUGGUUCUUGCUAUUGUUUUAGAUCCUAGGUGGAAGAUGAGAUUUGUUGGUUACUGUUUUAGAAAGAUUUAUGGUGAAACCAAGGGCUGUGAGGAGGAAGCUGAGGUUAGGAAGGAGUUCUAUGACCUAUAUGACACUUAUGAG
rnacentral:rRNA from 1 species